GCCUGGGUGGCUCAGUCGGUUGGGCGUCUGACUUCGGCUCAGGUCAUGAUCUCACAAUCCGUGGGUUCGAGCCCCGCGUCGGGUU
rnacentral:tRNA from 1 species